GACGAACGCUGGCGGCGUGCCUAAUACAUGCAAGUCGAACGAGAGCGACCGGUGCUUGCACUGGUCAAUCUAGUGGCGAACGGGUGAGUGACACGUGGGUAACCUGCCCAUCAGAGGGGGAUAACAUCCGGAAACGGAUGCUAAAACCGCAUAGGUCUUCGAACCGCAUGGUUUGAAGAGGAAAAGAGGCGCAAGCUUCUGCUGAUGGAUGGACCCGCGGUGCAUUAGCUAGUUGGUGAGGUAACGGCUCACCAAGGCCGUGAUGCAUAGCCGACCUGAGAGGGUGAUCGGCCACAUUGGGACUGAGACACGGCCCAAACUCCUACGGGAGGCAGCAGUAGGGAAUCUUCCGCAAUGGACGCAAGUCUGACGGAGCAACGCCGCGUGAGUGAAGAAGGUUUUCGGAUCGUAAAACUCUGUUGUUAGAGAAGAACAAGUGCUAGAGUAACUGUUAGCGCCUUGACGGUAGCUAACCAGAAAGCCACGGCUAACUACGUG
rnacentral:rRNA from 1 species